CCUACGGGGGGCAGCAGUGGGGAAUAUUGGACAAUGGGGGGAACCCUGAUCCAGCCAUGCCGCGUGUGUGAAGAAGGGCCUCGGGUUGUAAAGCACUUUCAGUGAGGAAGAACGCCUGGUGGUUAAUACCCAUCAGGAAAGACAUCACUCACAGAAGAAGCACCGGCUAACUCCGUGCCAGCAGCCGCGGUAAUACGGAGGGUGCGAGCGUUAAUCGGAAUUACUGGGCGUAAAGCGCGCGUAGGUGGCUUGAUAAGCCGGUUGUGAAAGCCCCGGGCUCAACCUGGGAACGGCAUCCGGAACUGUCAAGCUAGAGUGCAGGAGAGGAAGGUAGAAUUCCCGGUGUAGCGGUGAAAUGCGUAGAGAUCGGGAGGAAUACCAGUGGCGAAGGCGGCCUUCUGGACUGACACUGACACUGAGGUGCGAAAGCGUGGGUAGCAAACAGGAUUAGAUACCCUUGUAGUC
rnacentral:rRNA from 1 species